rnacentral:tRNA from 1 species
AUUUAAAUAGUUUAUUAAAAUUUUAGUUUGUGAUUCUAAAGAUUAACUUUUUGUUAUUUAAAUG